rnacentral:pre_miRNA from 1 species
AAUGUAUGACGCUGUUGAUUUUUUGUCCAAUGUUUGACCAUUCGUCUUAUUAAAAAAAUUAUGUAAUUAUCAUUUGUUUUAUUGUGACUUGAUUCAUCAUUCAAUGUUCUUUAAGCAUGACAUAAAUAUUUUCAUAUUUGCACAAAAAUUUUAAAUAAAACGAAUGGUUAAACGUUGAUCGAAAAGUCAACGGCGUCAUACAUU